AUGAGUUAAGUAUAAACCCCUUUACAAGUAUCAAUUGGAGGGCAAGUCUGGUGCCAGCAGCCGCGGUAAUUCCAGCUCCAAUAGCGUAUAUUAAAGUUGUUGCAGUUAAAAAGCUCGUAGUUGGAUUUCUGUUAAUAAUUUAUAUAUAAUAUUUUAUGAUAUUUAUAUAAUAUUAACAUAAUUCAUAUUACUAUAUUUAUUAGUAUAUGAAAUUUUACUUUGAGAAAAUUAGAGUGCUUAAAGCAGGCAUUUGCCUUGAAUACUCCAGCAUGGAAUAAUAUAAAAGAUUUUUAUCUUUUUUAUUGGUUCUAAGAUAAAAAUAAUGAUUAAUAGGGACAGUUGGGGGCAUUUGUAUUUAACAGUCAGAGGUGAAAUUCUUAGAUUUGUUAAAGACAAACUAGUGCGAAAGCAUUUGCCAAGGAUGUUUUCAUUAAUCAAGAACGAAAGUUAGGGGAUCGAAGACGAUCAGAUACCGUCGUAGU
rnacentral:rRNA from 1 species